AUCUCUGUAACCACACCGGCAGACGUACAGUAUAUGACACUCCGUUUUAGAACAUGGACAUUAUCAAACAUGGACGCCUCAGCUUUUUAAUAUCACUGCUCUGCAUACAAGGUCUAACUGAUGGAAGUGAUGUCAACCAGACUCCAGACAGACUGUGGAAAAACACGACUGACAGCGCAACAAUAAGCUGCAGCCACACCAAGGGUGCUGGCUACAACCAGAUGUACUGGUACAGACAGCGGCCGGGAGAAACAAUGAAACUAAUCGUGUUCACAAGAUUAGGCUUCGAAAAUCAUGAUUUUGGAGAUUUCAGCAAAGAGAAAUUCUCAGCCACCAAGAAUAACACUGAAAGUGGGACAUUCACAGUGAAGAAUCUGGAGCCAGAAGAUAAAGGCUUGUAUUUCUGUGCUGUGAGUCAACACAGUGAUACAGACACAUUCAACAGCUGAACAAAAACCCCAGAGCACCGUUGGCUCUAUUAGGGAGUCUAUUUAUCUGCUGUACUGUAGGGG